UACGUAGGGCGCAAGCGUUGUCCGGAAUUAUUGGGCGUAAAGAGCUCGUAGGCGGUUUGUCGCGUCUGUCGUGAAAGCUUGGGGCUUAACCCCAAGUCUGCGGUGGAUACGGGCAGACUAGAGGCAGGUAGGGGAGAACGGAAUUCCCGGUGUAGCGGUGAAAUGCGCAGAUAUCAGGAGGAACACCGAUGGCGAAGGCAGGUCUCUGGGCAUUAACUGACGCUGAGGAGCGAAAGCAUGGGGAGCGAACAGG
rnacentral:rRNA from 1 species